rnacentral:rRNA from 1 species
UACGUAGGGGGCAAGCGUUGUCCGGAUUUAUUGGGCGUAAAGGGUGCGUAGGCGGCGCGGUAAGUCGGGUGUGAAAUUUCGAGGCUCAACUUCGAAACUGCAUUCGAUACUGCCGUGCUUGAGGACUGGAGAGGAGACUGGAAUUUACGGUGUAGCGGUGAAAUGCGUAGAUAUCGUAAGGAAGACCAGUGGCGAAGGCGGGUCUCUGGACAGUUCCUGACGCUGAGGCACGAAGGCCAGGGGAGCAAACGGG